rnacentral:lncRNA from 1 species
UUUUGGUGAUGAUGAUGUGUUUGUACAUCUUACUUUACUGAACAUUCUUGCUGCUUACAAUUAUCUCUAUCUAUAAUGAACUUGGUCCAGUAGUUUCAGUAAAAAAUGUUAGUAAAAAUUUACAAAUUUUAUGAAAAUUGUUAAAAAUUGACUAUAAAGGACAAUAACUCCUUAGGGGGUCAAUUGCCCAUUUUGGUAAUGUUGACUUAUUUUUAGGUCUUAUUUUGCUGUACAUUAUUGCUGUUUACAGUUUAU